GUCGAGCGAACAGACGAGGAGCUUGCUCCUUUGACGUUAGCGGCGGACGGGUGAGUAACACGUAGGUAACCUACCUAUAAGACUGGGAUAACUUCGGGAAACCGGAGCUAAUACCGGAUAAUAUUUCGAACCGCAUGGUUCGAUAGUGAAAGAUGGCUUUGCUAUCACUUAUAGAUGGACCUGCGCCGUAUUAGCUAGUUGGUAAGGUAACGGCUUACCAAGGCAACGAUACGUAGCCGACCUGAGAGGGUGAUCGGCCACACUGGAACUGAGACACGGUCCAGACUCCUACGGGAGGCAGCAGUAGGGAAUCUUCCGCAAUGGGCGAAAGCCUGACGGAGCAACGCCGCGUGAGUGAUGAAGGUCUUCGGAUCGUAAAACUCUGUUAUUAGGGAAGAACAAACGUGUAAGUAACUGUGCACGUCUUGACGGUACCUAAUCAGAAAGCCACGGCUAACUACGUGCCAGCAGCCGCGGUAAUACGUAGGUGGCAAGCGUUAUCCGGAAUUAUUGGGCGUAAAGCGCGCGUAGGCGGUUUUUUAAGUCUGAUGUGAAAGCCCACGGCUCAACCGUGGAGGGUCAUUGGAAACUGGAAAACUUGAGUGCAGAAGAGGAAAGUGGAAUUCCAUGUGUAGCGGUGAAAUGCGCAGAGAUAUGGAGGAACACCAGUGGCGAAGGCGACUUUCUGGUCUGUAACUGACGCUGAUGUGCGAAAGCGUGGGGAUCAAACAGGAUUAGAUACCCUGGUAGUCCACGCCGUAAACGAUGAGUGCUAAGUGUUAGGGGGUUUCCGCCCCUUAGUGCUGCAGCUAACGCAUUAAGCACUCC
rnacentral:rRNA from 1 species